GACGAACGCUGGCGGCGUGCUUAACACAUGCAAGUCGAACGGAAAGGCCCCUUCGGGGGUCCUCGAGUGGCGCACGGGUGAGUAACACGUGAGUAACCUGCCCUUGACUUCGGGAUAACUUCAGGAAACUGGGGCUAAUCCCGGAUAGGAAUCCUUGCUGCAUGGUGGGGGUUGGAAAGCUUCGGCGGUUUUGGAUGGACUCGCGGCUUAUCAGCUUGUUGGUUGGGUAGUGGCUUACCAAGGCUUUGACGGGCAGCCGGCCUGAGAGGGCGACCGGCCACAUUGGGACUGAGAUACGGCCCAGACGCCUACGGGGGGCAGCAAAGAGGAAUAUUGUACAACGGGCGGAAGCCUGAAGCAGCAACGCCGCGGGCGGGAUGACGGCCUUGGGGUUGGAAGCCGCGUUCAGCAGGGGCGAAGCUUGUGGUGACGGUACCUGCAGAAGAAGCACCGGCUAACUACGUG
rnacentral:rRNA from 1 species